GAUGAAGAACGCAGCGAAAUGCGAUAAGUAAUGUGAAUUGCAGAAUUCAGUGAAUCAUCGAAUCUUUGAACGCACAUUGCGCCCGUCAGUAUUCUGGCGGGCAUGCCUGUUCGAGCGUCAUUACGCCCCUCAAGUCCCCUGUGGACUUGGUGUUGGGGAUCGGCGAGGCUGGUUUUCCAGCACAGCCGUCCCUUAAAUUAAUUGGCGGUCUCGCCGUGGCCCUCCUCUGCGCAGUAGUAAAACACUCGCAACAGGAGCCCGGCGCGGUCCACUGCCGUAAAACCCCCCAACUUUUUAUAGUUGACCUCCAAUCAGGUAGGACUACCCGCUGAACUUAAGCAUAUCAAUAAGCGGAGGA
rnacentral:misc_RNA from 1 species